rnacentral:rRNA from 1 species
AUGGAAGGGCCAUCGCUCAACGGAUAAAAGGUACUCCGGGGAUAACAGGCUGAUACCGCCCAAGAGUUCAUAUCGACGGCGGUGUUUGGCACCUCGAUGUCGGCUCAUCACAUCCUGGGGCUGAAGUAGGUCCCAAGGGUAUGGCUGUUCGCCAUUUAAAGUGGUACGCGAGCUGGGUUUAGAACGUCGUGAGACAGUUCGGUCCCUAUCUGCCGUGGGCGCUGGAGAAUUGAGGGGGGCUGCUCCUAGUACGAGAGGACCGGAGUGGACGCAUCACUGGUGUUCGGGUUGUCAUGCCAAUGGCACUGCCCGGUAGCUAAAUGCGGAAGAGAUAAGUGCUGAAAGCAUCUAAGCACGAAACUUGCCCCGAGAUGAGUUCUCCCUGAGACUUUAAGUCUCCUGAAGGAACGUU